GCUCUGUGACACUGAAGGUCACCAGUUCCCUUGCUGGCUUCGACUGAAUGAUUCCCCUGUGAAGUCCCUUGUUUACUGUAUUUGUAAUUAGCCACCAAGAACUUGAGUAACCGGUUUCCGAGGAGAACAUAUAUCCUGAAUCAGUUCCUGGACAUUUGUUUGAGGUCUUGUAAGGGAAACUGAAGGGAAUUGUGUAUUGAACAGGAUGGCUUAGACCUGCUCAACUUCUGAGAAUUGAGGCAAAGUGGGCAAUCCAGAUGUAUCACUUGACUUUCUGACUACUGGAAGAAUUUCCCUUCAUUAUUGCACACCAGGGGUAUCCCACAGGCUCAUAAGUGAAAAGGACUUGCCUUGUCUCAGACGAGACUUUGGACUGUGAACUUUUGGGUUAAUGCUGAAAUGAGGUUUUUCUUCAUGAAGAGUUCGCUGUUAGAGACGUUGCUGCACAUCUACCUGGUGAAGGCAUAAUUUUAUCACUCUUAUAAUUAAUUGCUUUAUAGGAUGAAUUGACCUCUUCAGUUUUUGUAAAAAUGAUGCAUUUAUAUGUUUUAUCACAGUAAAAAAAAAAUCAAAAUAACAUGAUGUACUGAAAAAGCAUGAAGAGAUGCCUCAAAUCUAUUUUUAAAAUUCUGGGAAACCAGAUAUUUGGAGAAAUUAUUUGAAUCACAGUGAAAAGACACAUCAUUUACUGGUUAAAAGUUGGCAUGCUUUAAUAACGCAACAGGGUUUAUAGGUCGUGAGACCCUUCCACUAACCUUUCUAAUGGCAUAAAGUGUGUUCAGGGCUGCCAUUUCCCAAAGGACUGAGGACUAAGCAGAGAAGAGCCAGUCUCUAAUCAUGGUCUAAAGACUUCAAAGAGGGUCAUCUUCUGGCUUCUUUCUCUCUGCUCUGGUUCCCAGCAACCAGCCUUGCUGUAGAUUUUCAGUAUCUCUGAGGGAAGGACACCCACUCGAUCACAUUCAUGUUCAGUUAAUUUACUUUCUUUUUUUUUUCCUUUCUUUCUUUUUUUUAGAAUCCAAUGGCUAUUAGCCCUUAGUGGAAACCAUACAGCAGCAAAAGCCACAAAGGCAAGAUAGAUGGCUUUGCUAUGUAUCCUAUAGAUAGCAUUACUUUUCUCAGAUUCCAAACCUUAUCCUGAUUUCACCUUGAUCCUUUGUAAAACUGUGCCUUGAUUUUCACUUUGUGCUUUCAGGAUAAAAGGAUCUUAGGCCAAACCCAGCUUACCAAUACUCCAGCACCCAUUCUAAGUAUGUGCUAUCCUGGUACCUCUAGCAUGGCACUCCUGGAGGUCAGACUAUGUUUUCUCACCUUUUUACACCUGGGACUGGCAUACUAGGCCUCAGUGAGUUUAUAAAAGAAGGGAGAAGGGAAAGGAGGGAGGGAGAGGACUGGAUCUAGACAUAUAGAAUAAAAUUUAUUCAGUAAAUUUUUGAAACAAUAUCUUUGUUCAUGUAUUAUAUAUUUAAUUUUUUCACCCAAGAAAAGAACAUAAGAAAGUGCCAAAGAUCACAAACUACAGUAUUGAUACCAGUAAAAUAAAGACCAAUCAUAACAAUAACAAAGUGGGAUUUAUACCUUAAAACUCUUUAUUCUCACCCUGACAUCCUAAUUUUUUGUGGCAUGUCUUUAAAAUAAUAGGCAGUGAUCCCAUUAAUAUUUUUCAACUGCAAAAGUCCAAAGAUUUGAGUAUGAUAAUGAGCAUGAUAAGAAACAGUAUGUUUAUUCAGUCUUGAAGGAUCUCUCCACAACUUACUUAUUUACAGCAAAGGGGAAAAUAGUACCUUCACAGUGGCAGACACCACCUUAGCAAAGUGAGCAAAGCUAACAUCACUAGCAGGUACAUGUAUCAACACCACAUACUCCCUGAUAAGACACACCAAGUCGGGAAGCUUGAGGUCAGGAGUUCAAAACCAGCCUGGCCAACAGAGUGAAACCCUGUCUCUAGUAAAAAUACAAAAAUUAACCGGGCGUGGUGGCACGUGCCUGUAGUCCCAGCUACUCGGGAGGCUGAGGCAGAAGAAUCACUUGAAUCUGGGAGGUUGAGGUUACAGUGAGCCGAGAUCGCGCCACUGCACUCGAGUCUGGGCAACAAAGUGAGACUCCGUCUCAAAAAACAAAACAAAACAAAACAAAACAAAGAUGCACCGAGUAGAGCACAGGAUCACUAUUGUCAUAUUCUUGCUGAAAACGCAUAAUCUGAAUUUGAUCAUGAGGAAAACGCAGACAAAUCCAAACAGAGGGAAAAUUUACAAAACAACUAACUCUUAUUUUUCACAAGUGUCAUAAAAGUUCAAGAAAGACUGAGAAAUUGUCCCAGAAUGGAAGAGACUAAGAGGUUGGGGCAACUAAAUGUGUGAUCCUUCAGAAAUUUUUGAAUAAGGUCUAUAGAUUAGUUAAUAGUAACAUAUCAUGUUAAUUUCCUGGUUUUGAUCAUUAUAUAAAUAUUAUGUGUCAUGCUAACAUUUGGGAGGCUGGGUGAAAGGUAUAUUGGAAUUCUUUGUACUAUUCUACUACUUUGUUGUAUGUCUGAAAUUAUUUUAAAUAAAUAGUUAAAUUUUUUAAAUUAAACAAUUCUAAACAUCUGGAUAUUAGAUUUCAGUGCAUAUCUGUGAGCACUGAAUCUGUGAGCAUAUUCUUGAGAAAAAGCAAAUAAAGAUUGUAAA
rnacentral:lncRNA from 1 species